CGGGGGGUCACCGCGCCCGCCCGGUCCGGGCACCGCGCCGCUUUGCGGGGCUGGGGGCUGCCCGGGGGGCCUCUCCGCGUCCCGCCGGCCCCGCCCGCACCGCCGCGGACGCGAUCCCGUUACGCGGGCGUCCGUGGGGGCCAGCGCUGCGCGGGGGCGCCGCUGGAUCGGGCCACGGGACCGGAGCUGCGGGCGCCGAGCGGGACGGACCCCGCGGAGACGGCCUCUGGCUGCGGUGCCCCCGUGCUGCCCCCCUCGGGAGGACGCGCUCCCGGUAGCGGUUUCCCGGUGGAGGUUCGGGGCUGGGGCCGGGAAGGAGCGUUUGGGCUUCUGUUGUGGCGCCCUUUCUCUGCGUGGCCGUAAGUGCUUCCAGAUGGGGAUUCAGCCACCAGACGUAACAAUAUUUCCAUAUUUGGUAUAGCAGUAGCCCGCAUUUUUCACAUUUUUCUGCUCUGUUAUCCAACCGCAAAGCAUUCUUGACAGCUUCAGAUGCUGUUAAAUAUAGCCCUCGCUGCCGUUCCCAGGGCAGGAAAUUCUCUGGAAUUCCUGCUUUUCACGCAAUCUGUCCAUCAUGAUUUAGGAGCGCAGCGCCGGAGCAGCCAACUGGCGUUACCCCGCCGCGGGUACUGCGAAAAGCGGAGCUCCGUCCCGCGCUCCAGCGGCGUGACCGCGAGUCCCCAUCGCAGGGAUUCCUUACAAGCGAGACUCGUUCCUAACACCGGUUUGGGGUGGGCUACGGGGGAGGUUUUUUUUUUCUUUUUCUGUUGCCUUCGAGGAUGGAGGUGGAGGCGCGCAGGAGAGCCCCGCGCAGCGGAGGGGUGGGGAGGGCGGGCUGCGGGCGCUGCCUGUCCCCUGGCGGGGCGGCCCCGCGGGACGGGCACGGCUGCGGGCACACGGGCGGCCGGCUGCUGUCCGCUGGGGGACGGCGUCACGGCGACGGACGGGACGAGCACGGCUUGGUGGAACACCCUGCAGGUGCUUUUUGUUCGAGGUGGCUCUACAGGGCAGCUUUGUGAUCAGAUGGAACAACGUUGUCAUUCAGUGCGAUUUUGUUACUGA
rnacentral:lncRNA from 1 species